UACAGGGGGGGCAAGCGUUGUUCGGAAUUACUGGGCGUAAAGGGCCAGUAGGCGGCCAACUAAGUCCGACGUGAAAUCCCAAGGCUUAACCUUGGAACUGCGUCGGAUACUGGAUGGCUUGAAUUCGGGAGAGGGAUGCAGAAUUCCAGGUGUAGCGGUGAAAUGCGUAGAUAUCUGGAGGAAUACCGGUGGCGAAGGCGGCAUCCUGGACCGACAUUGACGCUGAACGGCGGAAAGCUAAGGGGAGCAAACCGGG
rnacentral:rRNA from 1 species